GUGGCUGUGGCUCAAUGGUAGAAUGCUCACCUAGCAUGUGUGAGGCACUGGGUUCAGUCCUCAGAACCACA
rnacentral:tRNA from 1 species